CCUACGGAGUGCAGCAGUGAGGAAUAUUGGUCAAUGGGCGGGAGCCUGAACCAGCCAAGCCGCGUGAGGGACGAAGGUACAGCGUAUCGUACACCUCUUUUGUCAGGGAACAAAGGCGGGGACUAGUCCCCGGAUGAGGGUACCUGAAGAAAAAGCAUCGGCUAACUCCGUGCCAGCAGCCGCGGGAAUACGGAGGAUGCGAGCGUUAUCCGGAUUUAUGGGGUUUAAAGGGUGCGCCGACGGCCUGUUAAGUCAGCGGUAAACGCCCGGGGCUAAACCCCGGCGAGCCGUUGAAACUGGCGGGCUGGAGUUGGAGAGAAGUACGCGGAAUGCGCGGUGUAGCGGUGAAAUGCUUAGAUAUCGCGCAGAACCCCGAUUGCGAAGGAAGCGUACCGGCUCCACACUGACGCUGAGGCACGAAAGCGUGGGUAUCGAACAGGAUUAGAUACCCUAGUAGUC
rnacentral:rRNA from 1 species